UGCCGGGCGCGCGGCGCAGGCCGAGCCCCGACAGACGCCGCCGCCGCCGCUCCCUCAGCGUCCCUCGGCUCCCCUCAGCGUCCCUCGGCUCCCCUCAGCACCCCUCGGCUCGCCUCUGCACCCCUCAGCUCCCCUCAGCAUCCUCGGCUCCACUCAGAGCGCCUCGGCUCCCCUCAGCGCCUUCAGCGCCCUCGGCUCCACUCGGCACCCCUCGUCUCCCCUCAGCGCCCUCAGCUCCCUUCAGCGCCCUUCACCGCCCUCGGCUCCCCUGAGCGGCCUCGGCUCCCCUCCGCGCCGCCGCCAUGGCUCAAGCUGACAUUGCUUUGAUUGGACUGGCUGUGAUGGGUCAAAACCUUGUUUUGAACAUGAAUGACCAUGGCUUUGUGGUUUGUGCUUUUAACAGGACAGUUUCCAAAGUGGAUGACUUUCUGGCCAAUGAAGCCAAGGGAACCAAAGUGAUUGGUGCUCACAGCCUGGAAGAGAUGGUCUCAAAGUUAAAGAAGCCUCGUCGCAUUAUCUUGCUGGUGAAGGCUGGAAGUGCAGUGGAUGACUUCAUCAACAAAUUGGUGCCAUUGUUGGAGACUGGAGACAUCAUAAUCGAUGGUGGGAAUUCUGAGUAUAGAGAUACCACGAGGCGUUGUAAGGAACUGCAGAAAAAGGGCAUCUUAUUUGUUGGAAGUGGUGUCAGUGGUGGAGAGGAGGGUGCCAGAUAUGGUCCUUCACUCAUGCCAGGAGGAGCCAAAGAAGCCUGGCCCCACAUCAAGACCAUAUUUCAGAGCAUUGCUGCUAAAGUGGGAUCUGGGGAACCUUGUUGUGACUGGGUAGGAGAGGAGGGUGCUGGACACUUUGUGAAGAUGGUGCACAAUGGGAUUGAAUACGGAGACAUGCAGCUGAUCUGUGAGGCCUAUCACCUGAUGAAAGAUGUGCUGGGCAUGGAGCAUGAGGAGAUGGCAAAGGUAUUUGAGGAAUGGAAUAAGACAGAGCUGGACUCUUUCUUGAUUGAGAUCACAGCCAAUAUUCUCAAAUUCAAAGACAGUGAUGGCAAAUUCCUCCUCCCAAAGAUCAAGGACAGUGCAGGACAAAAAGGCACAGGGAAGUGGACAGCCAUUUCAGCCCUGGAAUAUGGAGUCCCUGUCACCCUCAUAGGUGAAGCUGUGUUUGCACGGUGCCUCUCUUCCCUCAAGGAUGAGAGGGUACAGGCCAGUAAGCUGCUGGGUGGGCCUAAAGCGGCCCGAUUCACUGGGAACAAGAAGGCUUUUCUGGAGGACAUACGCAAGGCCCUGUAUGCUUCCAAGAUUAUCUCCUAUGCUCAAGGCUUCAUGCUGCUGAGACAAGCAGCCAAAGAAUUUGGCUGGACGCUGAAUUACGGUGGCAUUGCUCUGAUGUGGAGGGGAGGCUGCAUCAUCAGAAGUGUGUUCCUGGGAAAAAUCAAAGAUGCUUUUGAUCGAAACCCUGAGCUCCAGAAUUUGCUGUUGGAUGAUUUCUUUAAAACAGCUGUUGAAAACUGCCAGGACUCCUGGCGACGUGUGAUCAGUACUGGGGUACAGAUUGGUAUCCCUAUGCCCUGCUUCACUACAGCGCUUUCUUUUUAUGAUGGAUACAGGCAUGAAAUAUUACCAGCCAACCUUAUUCAGGCUCAGCGCGACUACUUUGGCGCACACACGUACGAGUUGCUGUCGAAGCCGGGUGUGUUCAUCCACACUAACUGGACGGGCCACGGAGGAAGUGUGUCCUCUUCUGCCUACAACGUCUAAUGGAAACCUUUCCCCUUGAAGCCAAGAUACUGUAGAUCACGGAUAUUCCUCCUAGAAUACCAGUUUUUACUGUACUGUGCUAGAUCUUGUUCGGACACUUUUGUAAUAACUUGGCAUAAACUCAUAGGGAUCAUGAUAAGCGCUGACAGCAUCUCACUAACUGCUGACGUGGAGAGGCAGACAGCACACUACUGCUACACACGAUGCCUGCGAGAGGCUGAAGGCUGCGGUUCACUACACGGUUGGCUGCUUGUGCCAGGAGGUUGCAGAAGACAAAGACAUGCAGUUCAGCAAACAAGCC